rnacentral:rRNA from 1 species
AGAUCGGUAGCCGGGCUCAGAAUCAACGCUGGCGGCGCGCUUAACACAUGCAAGUCGCACGAGAAAGGGGGCAACCCUGAGUAAAGUGGCGCACGGGUGAGUAACACGUGGGUAUCUACCUUUUUGUGGGGAAUAACUUGGGGAAACCCGAGCUAAUACCGCAUAAGCUCGAGAGAGGAAAGCCGAAAGGCGCAGAAAGAGGAGCCCGCGGCUGAUUAGCUAGUUGGUGAGGUAAUGGCUCACCAAGGCAAAGAUCGGUAGCCGGCCUGAGAGGGCACACGGCCACACUGGCACUGAAACACGGGCCAGACUCCUACGGGAGGCAGCAGUGGGGAAUCUUGCACAAUGGAGGAAACUCUGAUGCAGCGACGCCGCGUGAACGAUGAAGCCCUUCGGGGUGUAAAGUUCUUUCGUCAGGAACGAUAAUGACGGUACCUGGAGAAGAAGCUGCGGCUAACUACGUGCCAGCAGCCGCGGUAAUACGUAGGCAGCAAGCGUUGUUCGGAAUUAUUGGGCGUAAAGAGUAUGUAGGUGGUGUCGUAAGUUUGGUGUGAAAUCUCCUGGCUUAACUGGGAGGGUGCGCCGAAGACUGCGAUGCUUGAGUAUGGGAGAGGGAAUCGGAAUUCCUGGUGUAGCGGUGAAAUGCGUAGAUAUCAGGAGGAACACCUGUGGUGUAGACGGGUUCCUGGACCAUUACUGACACUGAGAUACGAAAGCGUGGGUAGCAAACAGGAUUAGAUACCCUGGAAGUCCACGCCCUAAACGAUGCACA